rnacentral:lncRNA from 1 species
ACAUAAUUGCAAAAUUAAAAGGAAGUGCUCUAUUGUGAUGGAGAAGGGUUCAUCCAAACUUGUCUUAAAAACUCCAGAAUGUCACAGCAACAGAAGAAGAAAAUGAGGAAACCGAAUAAGACCAGCGAUGAAAAAGAAGAUGAAGCAGGUAUAGAUGAUGCACUAUUGGAAGAGACUGGUGCAAAGGAAAUGGUUGAAUGGAUGAAGCAUGCCAGCCCAACCAAAGAAAACUUACCAGCAAUAAGAGAAUACUUUCAGCGAACUUAUGAGUAUCGGCAGGCACAGGUCAAAGGGGAACUCUCUGUUAUCGAGCUCAUAGACCUGUAUCCAUGAUACGAGGAUUUAUCCAACUUGAUCAGUGUUGAAUUUGCACUUAUGUUUCCUGAGGAGUCUGGGAAUUUUCUGAAAAAAUGGGGGACUACCUUCAGGGAGAACAUCAUCACCUCUGCCAAGGAGGAUUAUGCUACAAUACAACAGGUCAUGAAAGAUGAAGUUUCUGACAGAAGGAACUGAUUUGAGGAUGACCACUGGAAACUGAGAAAAUGUUCAGCCAACCUUUCCUUUUGAAGAAGAGCAAGCGACACUACUUGGUGUUGGACCAAAAAGUCCUUGUGGCAGGUGAUAUACCUUUGUUGAUAGAUUUGACAGGCUCUUCAAAGCCCAUUACUGUUUCGAUGUCCACUUUGCCCAAGUUUUGGCACCAUUUUAUGGAUAUUUAGCAGCCUGCGUAUAUGGGGUGUUGCACCCAUCCAAGGUGAGACCUGCAGUGCGCUCAAUUGCAUCAGUUAUUAUGUCUGAUCAGUAAUCCGUACAAACUGAACCCUCUUCGUGUUAGACCAAAAUGUUAUACUUUGAUCAUCACUAAAUAGGCAGGCCAAUUCACAUCGUGAAUUGAUAUAGAAAAGUACUGAACACAGCAGAACUGCAGCAGACGCAGCUUCUGUCUUACAUUUGACACGCGCAUCCGUAUCUAUGAUGUGCGUGUGAGUGGGAUUACCUUGCGCGCAGAUGAAGAAAAGCCUUACAUUUCCUGCCUGUUUAGUGAUAAUCAAAGUUGAGUGGCAGGUGAUGGCUGUGUCAAAUUAUUUGACAGGCUAUUAGAAGCCCAUUUUGUUGUUUUAAAGGGAUGGUCUGGGUUAAAAAUAUUUAUACAUGUAUCUGAAUA